AUUCAGCUGACGAGUCGGAAAGAGGACGAAAUGCGCGUCCUGGAU
rnacentral:hammerhead_ribozyme from 1 species